CUCCGUGAGGCCUCCGCCGCUGCCGCUGCCUGGAACCCGCCCCUGCCUCCAUCGAUCGCUCCUCCUACAGUUCGAUGUUUCGCUCUUCUUUCUUCCGGAGAAGUGAUCGAGAUCGAGAGGGAGAGAGAGAGGGAGCGAGAGAGUGAGAGAGAGGGAGGGAGGGAAGAAGGAGAAGGGAUGAAAGGCGUGACCACCGCCCUUAUAUACCAAUCGUUACGGUAAUCCGCCGGACCAACUUUAUCAGUCUUCCUUCGUUCCCGUUGAAGAUUUGAACGAUGAUUGCAAUUACACGAUGCCCUAAGACAACCAACCAUACAAAAUGCCCAAGGAGCAACGUGCAACGAUUGCAAUUACAUACACAAUAGCGUACACACAAAGGCAUACAUGCAUAAGUAGAUGCAUGACAGAUAAAUAGAUACAAGA
rnacentral:lncRNA from 1 species